rnacentral:tRNA from 1 species
UCCCUGGUGGUCCAGUGGUUAGGACUCUGUGCUUCCACUGCAGGGGACCAGGGUUCAAUCCCUGGUCUGGGAA